rnacentral:rRNA from 1 species
UACGGGGGGUGCGAGCGUUGUCCGGAAUCACUGGGCGUAAAGGGCGCGUAGGUGGCCUGAUAAGGGUGUGGUGAAAGUCCGGGGCUCAACCCCGGAUCGGCCGUGCCGACUGUUAGGCUAGAGUACUGUAGGGGCAGGCGGAAUUCCGGGUGUAGCGGUGGAAUGCGUAGAGAUCCGGAGGAAGACCGGUGGCGAAGGCGGGUCUCUGGGCCGAUACUGACGCUGAGGAGCGAAGCGUGGGGAGCGAACAGGAUAGAUACCGAGUAGCUCCAUGACCAAGUCCGUACGUGACUCACCGUA